UACAGAGGGGGCGAGCGUUGUUCGGAAUUACUGGGUGUAAAGCGCGUGUAGGCGGCAGGCCAAGUCGGUGGUGAAAGCGCCCGGCUCAACUGGGCGAGGUCCAUGGAAACUGGUCAGCUGGAGGACGGUAGAGGCGAGUGGAAUUCCCGGUGUAGUGGUGAAAUGCGUAGAGAUCGGGAGGAACACCUGUGGCGAAGGCGGCUCGCUGGGCCGGUCCUGACGCUGAAACGCGAAGGCGUGGGGAGCGAACGGG
rnacentral:rRNA from 1 species